AUAUCCUUCUCAGCCUUUUGGCUAAGAUCAAGUGCAUCUGUUCUUAUCUAUUCUUAUCAGUUUCAUAUCUGAUACGUCCCCUGUCCGGGCACCAUAUAAAAUAAAUUGCUUUUUGGAACAGGGAGAUGGAAAAAGGGCUCUGUCCACUCUACGCAUCAACCUGGUAUUGCAGCACUUCUGGGAAUGGUGUUAGGGAG